UGUUGACGACAUGAAAUCCAUGGGGGAUGAUUCGAUGCGUGUCAACGUGACGGACGAUGAGAGAGACAAUCGACAUUCCGGAGCACCAACCAUAACCGAGAUGAUCACGAAAGAAAAUUAUCAACGUACAAACGCUGCCAAUCUGAAACCAGAUAAUGUUGAUAUUAAUAGGCACCCUGUACAUGUCGGAAUUCCACAGUGGAGAAACUUCCUGGUUUCCUUUCUGGUGGAUGCACGAGGUGGUGCAAUGCGUGGCUGCAGACACAGUGGUGUGCGCGUAAUCGUUCCUCCUAGAAAAGCUGCAAUGCCAAUGCGUGUUACGUGCAGAUAUUUAAGGAGGGAUAAAUUGACUAAUCCACCACCUCUGAUGGAAGGAGAAGCUUUGGCCAGCCGUAUUCUUGAACUUGGACCCGUGGGUGCCAAAUUCUUGGGGCCCGUCAUCAUAGAAGUACCACACUUCGCUUCACUGCGAGGAAAAGAACGAGAAAUAGUAAUACUUCGAUCGGAUAAUGGAGAGACUUGGCGCGAACACACCUUGGAAGCCAGCGAGGAGGCUGUCCAGGAUGUGCUUAACGAGAGCUUUGAAGGAGAAGAAUUAAGCCAGCUCGAGGAUCUCCAAACUUCUCGGAUCGUAAGGAUACUCACUGCAGACUUUCCACAUUAUUUCGCAGUAGUGUCGCGUAUUAGACAAGAAGUUCAUGCAGUUGGUCCCGAAGGUGGUACAGUUUCUUCAUCCGCGGUUCCACAAGUUCAGGCCGUCUUUCCACCGGCAGCUCUCACUAAAAAGAUCAGAGUUGGUCUUCAGGCACAUCCAAUCCCAGCCGACCUGGUAGCCAAACUACUUGGUAACCGAGUAGCAGUAUCACCGAUCGUAACCGUGGAACCAAGACGAAGAAAAUUCCAUAAGCCGAUAACUUUAACCAUACCGGUGCCGCAGGCAGCCAACAAGGGGAUGAUCAAUCAAUAUUCUGGAGAUGCGCCAACGUUGAGACUCCUGUGUAGCAUAACUGGGGGUCAGUCUCGGGCAGUCUGGGAGGAUGUAACAGGUUCAACGCCGCUGACGUUCGUCAAAGAUUGCGUUUCCUUUACCACCACUGUAUCCGCUCGCUUCUGGUUAAUGGAUUGUCGGAAUAUCUCCGAAGCCACGAAAAUGGCUACGGAACUGUACACACACGCGACACAUGUACCGUUUAUGGCUAAAUUCGUAGUAUUUGCGAAACGAAUAGAUCCUCUGGAGGCAAGGUUACGUGUCUUCUGCAUGACUGAUGAUAAAGAGGAUAAGACUUUGGAGAACCAGGAACAUUUCACGGAAGUUGCUAAAAGUCGAGAUGUCGAGGUCUUGGAAGGCAAAACGCAGUACAUGGAAUUUUCGGGCAACCUCGUGCCAGUAUUGAAGAGCGGUGAGCAGCUGCAAUUACCGUUUAGAGCAUUCAAGGAGAAUAGAGUUCCGUUCACGGCGAGGAUAAAGGAUCCUGAUGCUGCGGACACCAUGGGUCGCAUCAUGUUCAUGAGCGAGCCGAAGGUUCCCAAGGGCGAAUUACCGCAGACACCCAUAUGCACGUUGCACAUUUUAUUGCCGGAGAAGAUCUCUCCCGAACCGGCGAUCUCCGAAGUGGAUUUACUGGAGCUGUCGAAGAACUACAGCUUCCUGCGCGAUGGUGGCAUAAGUCGUCCAGACGCGAUUCACAGAGCUACCAUACGACUGACAGACAUCGCGAAUUUGUUGGACAAGGACUGGGAGAAACUUGCAGAGGAAUUAAAUAUCCCACCGAAUGAGGUGUCGACGAUUAAACAAGAGUAUUCUAAUAAGCCGGCGCAGCAGGCGGCCGCCAUGCUUAAGAUCUGGCAGAGCAACGGGAACAAAGCCACUGGGAAUACUUUGGAGAAGGCGUUGAACAAAAUAGGGCGAGAGGACAUUGUAAAGAAAUGCAUAUUCAAUGUGGAAUUAGUAACUGAUGACGUAGAGAAAGCAGUAGCAAGAGUACGAUUAGAUCAGCCAGGAUUUGAUUCAUUGAAAGAAGAACUGGGUCCUUCAAGGGAUACUUCUCUUCGCCGUGACGCGACGAUGGAUCCGAAAAUGGAUCCUGAUUAUGAUGAAUUUAACAAAACUAAGGGAGCUGGAUCAAUUGAAGACCUAAAUAUUAGUGCCACUAAACGAGAUACACCGAAACAGCAUGUCACAAUCACAAACGGCACUGUAUUCAACGGAACCUCGACCCCCAUCAAAGAUAAAUACGCAAGCGACGAGAAAGAACUAAGGGACGUAAUGGCCGAUUUUCUUGAACACAAAUGCCACGUAACCGACACGAUGAGCAAAAAGUCACGCGACGAAUUAGACGACGAGGACAAAAAACGACAGAGGGUGAUCGCAGACGCCAACAGAAUAGUUUCUGGUGUAAUAGCAGACGCAGAGAAAGAGAAGGGGAAGUUAGCGAAGGAGGGGUGGUCGGUGGUUUGUGAUGAUGAUGCGCGGGACAGUAAAGAGGCAGGAGGUGCUGUAAUUCAGAGUUUUGUUAGGGAACAGUUCAGUGACAAAGAACAGAAGGAUAAGGGCAAAAAAGUGGACGAAGCGGUUGACGAGAGAAUACCGGUCGUAGAACCGAUGAUAGUUAAACAGCGUUAUGUUCGCGAUGGGAAGGGCGAUUCAGUUACGAUCAUUAAAUCCGAAACUACAGUUACAAUGGGCGAUAAACCGGGCCAGCCCGUGAUCACUCAAACUAUCAUAACGAAGGAGGCAGAUCAAACUGUCCCCAAAAUUGUAACCACCGUUUCCGACGGUAAAAGCGUUACGAGUAAGGAAAAAUUGUCGAAGGAGGGCAAGGAGAUCGACGAGAAGACGGUAGACGCUAAGAAAGACACAAAGACAGAAAAGGAUGAAGCUCACAAGGAGCCAAAAGGAAAAACUCACAUUCCAGACGAAACGAAACCUGACAUACAGGUAUCCGCUUACGAAAGCGUUUAUAAUGUUCAAUAUCCCUCAACGCAGCCCGAAGACAAGGAGGACGAGACAAAGAAGAAGGGCGGUAUCCUCUCUGGAAUUUUUAAGGGAACAAAAUUAAAGAAGAGUAAAUCAAAGGGUUCGAAGGAUACGUCCUUCGAUAGCGGCGAUGAGGACAAAGUAGUUUCACCUACAGAACAUUCGGUAGCCAGCGAGAAACCUGCAGAAAGUGCACCUGACGUAAAGUUAGCGACCAUGCAAUUUCUGGACGAGUCCAGACGCGUUGCUGCGGAAAUGCAGCCAAUGGAAAUGGACUCGAAGAAGAAAGACGAUGGCAAACCCAAGGAGUCGGAGGAUCGUGGUGUGACCAGCGAUACCAGCGAUCAGGAGAAAGAGAAAAGCGGCUUCUUCGGUAUAUUCAAGAGUCCGAAGUCAAAGGAGAAGAAGCUGAAGAAGUCCAAGGAAGCGUCGUUCGACAGCGGCGACGAAGAGCUUCGAGUCGCCACGGAGAAGUUCUUGGACGACACGAGAAAGAUUGCGGACGCCACUGUGUCUCCUGUGAAGGACAAGGAGCUUCACACGUUCACCUCGCACGUCCACUACGAGGAGGACACGCCGAAGGACAGAUUAAACGGACACUCUUACGAUAUCUCUGAGAUCCAAAAGAAGUCGGAGGCGAGAACUACUCCUCACAGGGAAAUGAAUGGAAAGUCCGAGGCUAAAAAAGCGAAGGAUGCUCCACGGAAAGAGGGAAGUCUGGAAAGGUCCGCGGAUUUGAAGCCAGACUCCGACAAACCGCGCGACGAAGAAGAAGAGGAGAGCAAGGACAAAGGUGGCGGAUUCUUCAGUAUGUUCAAGAGUCCGAAACUCAAGUCGAAGAAGCGAAGUGCGUCGAGGGAGAAGAGCUCUUCAAAAGAGACGUCCUUCGAUAGCGGAGACGAGGAGACACGACACGUGACCGCCGCCUUCUUGGACGACACCAAGAAAGUCGCAAGUAGCUUGCAUCACGAUGAACCGAAAGAAAAACCCGACGUCCCAAGUGACGCGAAGACUGACACAGAACACGCGGAAAAGAGCAGCGGAAUUCUCAGCAAGUUCAGAAGCCCGAAGCUGUCGAGAGAAUCACGAAGCAGAUCUCGAGAGAAGCAUACGCCAGAACCGGCACAGGACAGUUCGCUGCGUGAAACGACGGCGAAGUUCCUGGAGGACGCCAGAAACAUCGCUGGUUUAACGUUAGACACAAGCAAGGAGGAACCAAAAGAAGCUAAAGAAUCCGACGUGAAGAAGGCUGUGGACGCAGAAGCGGAGGAGGCGAAGAGCAAGAUCUCGAAAGAAGGCAAGAAAGCAAAGGAAAAGGGCGGAGGAUUCCUCUCUGGUCUGUUCAAGGGUGUAAAACACUCUGCGGACGAAGUGUCUGAAGACAUCAAGGACACCGUUGACGAAGCGAAGAAGGACGCUGCUCAGGAGAAAGCGCGUGUUCGAGAUGCAAUAUCCGAGAAACUGGACGACAUCGACGCAGCGAAGGACAAAGCUGCUGCAGAAUUGAAGGCUGCGAAGGACAAAACUGUGACCGUUAUAAAAGACACCGCAGAUGCUGCGAGUACGAAAGUGUCGAAAGGUGUAGAAAAAGCGGCGGACACCGGUAAGGCAGUUAAAGACAAAAUGGCCGACGAGGCGAAGCAGGCUAAGGAGGCCACAGACGCUGCCGCUCGAGAAGUAGUCGAUAGAGCAAAGGCAGCGAAAGACAAGGCAGCGGCCGACAUCAAAGAUGCCAAGGAGAAAGUCACGACGGCUGUGAAAGACACUAAGGAUCAAGCAAAGGAGAAAAUGACCGAGGGUGCACAGAAGGUGACCCAAGCCAGCAAAGAUGUUACGGGCAAAGUGGUCGAUGGACUAAAGACUGCGGAGGCGAAAGUAGAAACAGCAGCGAAAGACGUGGCUGACGGUGCUAAAACAGCGAAGGACAAAGUGGUUACGGAGGUUAAAGAAGACACGGAGGCUGUGAAGCAGAAAGUGUCCUCCGGAGUGGACGCCGUUGUGGAUGGCGCGGCCGCAGCGAAGGAUAAGACUGCGAAGGAGGCUAAGAAAGCAAAGGAGAAAGCUGGAGGCUUCCUGUCGGGAUUGUUCAAAGGCGCGAAGCAUGCGGCAGACGAAGUUUCGGAAGAUAUGAAAGAGUUUGUGGACGAAGCGAAGAAGGACGCUGCCGAAGAGGAAGCUCGCGCUCGCGAAGCGGCGGCGAAGAAAUUAAAAGAGGCUGACACAGCGAAGGACAAAGCGGCUGCUGGCGUCAAAGAUGCGGUGGACAAAGCUGCAGGUGCGGUCAAGGACACCAAGGAUAAAGUUAGCGAGAAAGUAAUAGAUGGUGUCCACAAAGUAUCCGACGCUGGCAAAGAGACGGCCAAGAAAGUAGUGGUUGAAGUGAAACAUGUUGGUGAAAAAGCGGAUGAAGCAGCAAAGGAGGUAGCAGACGGCGCGAAAGCGGCGAAAGAUAAAACGGUUGACGGUGCAAAGGGUAUUAAGGAUAAAGUAUCUGAGAAAGUGACCGAAGGCGCACAGAAAGUGUCGGACACAGGCAAAGCUGUUGGUGAAAAGGUAGUCGAAGGUGUUAAGAAGGCAGAAGAUAAGGUGGAAGCAGCAGCCCACGGAGUGGCAGAUAGCGCAAAGACAGCGAAAGACAAAGCCGCCAAAGAAGUUAAGGAAGACGUCGAAAUUGUGAAGCAGAAAGUUUCUUCAGGAGUAGACACCGUGGUAGAUGGCGCUGCAGCUGCUAAAGACAAGGCUGCAAAGGAGGCUAAGAAAGUGAAGGAAAAGACCGGUGGCUUCCUCUCAGGCUGGUUCAAAGGAUCGAAACAUUCGACAGAGGAUGUAACGGAGGAUGUCAAAGACUUCCUCGAGGAAACGAGAAAGGAAGCGGCCGAAGAGGAAGCACGAGCCCGAGCAGCACUUGAUAGUAAAAUGAAGGACGCUGACGCAGCGAAAGGAAAGAUAGCCGCCGAUGUAAAAGACACCAAGGACAAAGUUGUUACUUCCGUCAUAGAUGCCAAGGACAAGGUUAAAGAAAAGGUCUCCGACGGUGUCCACAAAGUUUCAGACACUGGAAAAAGUGUGGCUGAAAAGGUGACAGACGGAGCGAAACACAUUGCAGAGAAAACAGACGAAGCAGCUCGAGAAGUGGCGGACGGAGCAAAGGCUGCAAAAGACAAGGCUGUUGAAGACGCGAGCAAAGCUAAAGACAAAGUAGCAACUGCUGCGAAGGAUACAAAGGAUAAAAUCGGCGAGAAAGUGUCAGAGGGCGCCCAGAAGGUGUCGGAUGCUGGCGCAGCUGUGGGAGGAGCAGUGUUGCAUGGAAUUAAGAAAGUUGAAAGCAAAGCAGAAGCAACAGCUCACGACGUAGCUGAAGGCACGAAAGCAGCGAAGGAUAAGGUAGCUAAAGAAAUUAAACAAGACACCGAAAUCGUGAAGGAAAAAGUAUCAUCUGGUGUGGAUGCGGUAGCUGAAGGAGCUGCGGCAGCGAAGGAUAAGACAGCGAAAGAAGCUAAAAAGGCCAAGGAAAAAGCUGGAGGUUUCCUUUCUGGACUGUUCAAGGGUGCAAAACACGCAGCUGACGACGUGUCAGACGAAGUUAAGGACUUCCUUGAUGAGACAAAGAAAGAAGCAGCUGAAGAAGAGGCACGAGCUCGUGCCGCGGCUGAACAGAAGCUGAAGGAUGCCGAUGCUGCAAAAGAUAAGGCAGUUGCUGGCAUCAAGGAUGCGAAGGAUAAAGUGGCGUCCACCGUGAAAGACGCGAAAGAUAAAGCCGGUGAGAAAGUUUCUACAGCUGCUCAGAAGGUGACAGACACUGGAAAAGCUGCGGCUGAAAAAGUGGCAGAGGGAGCACAUCAGUUAGGUGAGAAAGUAGAUCAAACAGUUACAACAGCAGCGGAGGGAGCAAAAGCAGCGAAAGAUAAAGCAGCUGAAGACGCUAAGGAGGUAAAAGACAAAAUCGCGACUGCUGCUAAAGACACCAAGGAGAAGGUCAGUGAGAAAGUAACUGAAGGAGCACAAAAAGUGUCAGACACUGGAAAGACGGUUGGAGGCAAAAUUCUGGAUGGAGUUAAAAAAGCUGAGGAGAAAGUUGAAGCCACAGCUCAUGGAAUUGCUGAUGGUGCGAAGUCUGCGAAGGACAAAGUAGGAAAGGAGAUUAAGCACGACACUGAAAUCGUCAAGGAGAAAGUAUCGUCUGCUGCCGACGCAGUCGUAGAUGGUACAGCAGCAGCUAAAGACAAAGCAGCAAAAGAAGCUAAGAAAGCUAAAGAAAAGACCGGUGGUUUUCUCUCUGGCUUGUUCAAGGGAGUAAAACAUGCUGCGGAUGAUGUAUCCGAGGAAGUCAAGGAAUUCGUUGAUGAAACAAAGAAGGAAGCUGCUGAUGAAGAAGCGAGAGCACGUGCUGCAGCUGCACAGAAGCUGAAGGAUGCUGAAGCAGCCAAAGACAAAGCAGUUGCUGAUGUAAAAGACGCAAAGGACAAAGCAGCAUCCGCUGUGAAGGAUGCUAAGGAUAAAGCCAGCGAAAAAGUUUCUACCGCUGCCCAGAAGGUAUCAGAUACCGGAAAGGCUGCGGCUGAAAAAGUAGCGGAUGAAGUGAAACAUGUUGGUGAUGCAGCAGAUAAAAAAGCACGUGAAAUAGCAGAUGCUGCUAAGGCUGCCAAAGACAAAACUGUCGAAGGUGCCAAAAAGACUGGCGAACAAGUUACGACUGCUGCUAAGGAUGCGAAGGAUAAAGUUAGCGAGAAAGUAGCAGAAGGAGCGCAGAAGGUAUCAGACGCUGGAAAGGCAGCUGAGGAAAAAAUACACGAUGGAGUGAAGAAAGUAGAGGAUAAAGCAAAAGCAACUGCACAUGAUGUAGCAGAGGGUGCCAAAAUGACCAAGGACAAAGUAGCAAAAGAGAUCAAAGAGGACGCUGAUGCCGUGAAGCAAAAGGUGUCAUCCGGUGUGGAUGCAGUAGCUGAUAGCGCUGCGACAGCAAAGGAUAAAGCAGCGAAAGAGGCGAAGAAAGCUAAAGAUAAGGCUGGCGGCUUCCUUUCUGGAUUAUUCAAGGGUGCAAAGCACUCAGUGGAUGAUGCUUCUGAAGACGUGAAAGAAUUUCUAGAUGAAGCCAGAAAGGAUGCGGCUGAGGAACAAGCUAGAUUGCGUGCAGCCGCUGCAGAGAAAGUGAAGGAUGCGGACUCAGCUAAGGAUAAAGCAGUUUCUGGUUUGAAAGAUGUGAAAGACAAAACAGUAUCUGCUGUAAAAGACGCCAAGGACACAGUCAGUGAGAAGGUUUCUACUGCUGCAGAGAAAGUAUCUGAUACUGGAAAAGCCGCCGCCGAAAAAGUAGUAGACGGUGUAAAACUAGUUGAAGGGAAGACCGAGAAAGCAGCUCACGACAUGGCAGAUGCUGCCAAAGCUGCCAAAGACAAAGCUGUAGAAGAUGCAAAAGAGGUCGGUGACAAAGUAGCAACAACUGCAAAAGAUACAAAAGAAAAAGUUGGUGAAAAGUUGGCUGCAGGAGCACAAAAGGUGUCAGAUACUGGAAAGGCGGUUGGAGACAAAAUCGUUGAUGGAGCAAAGAAAGUCGACGAGAAAGCUUCUACGGCAGUUCACGGUGCAGUAGACACCGCAAAAGCAACAAAAGACAAGGUUGCCAAAGAAGUUAAAGAAGACGCUGACAUUGUAAAGCAGAAAGUAUCCUCAGGUGUUGACACCGUAGUAGACGGAGCUGCGUCAGCCAAGGAUAAAGCAGCGAAAGAAGCCAAGAAAGCCAAGGAGAAGGCUGGAGGAUUCCUCUCAGGAUUGUUCAAAGGCGCAAAGCAGGCGUCCGAUGACGUAUCAGACGAAGUUAAAGAAUUCGUUGAUGACACAAAGAAAGCAGCAGCUGAAGAAGAAGCCAAAGCACGAGCGGCAGCUGCGGAGAAAUUGAAAGAAGCCGAAGCUGCAAAAGACAAAGUAGCUACUGAUGUAAAAGGUGCAAAGGAUAAAGUAGUAUCCGCCGUGAAAGAUGCUAAGGAUAAAACCAAUGAGAAAGUUGCUGCAGCUGCUCAGAAAGUAUCAGAUACUGGAAAAGCUGCAGCUGAAAAAGUAGCGGAUGGUGCAAAACAGGUUGAAGACAAAGCAGAAAAGGCAGCUCAUGAAGUAGCUGAUGCUGCUAAAGCUGCCAAAGACAAAACUGUCGAAGGUGUCAAAAAGACCGGCGAACAAGUUACAACUGCUGCAAAGGAUGCCAAAGAUAAAGUUAGCGAGAAAGUAGCAGAAGGAGCGCAGAAGGUAUCAGACGCUGGAAAGGCAGCUGAGGAAAAAGUACACGAUGGAGUGAAGAAAGUAGAGGAUAAAGCAAAGACGACUGCACAUGAUGUAGCAGAGGGCGCCAAAAUGACCAAGGACAAAGUGGCAAAAGAAAUUAAGGAGGACGCUGAUGCCGUGAAGCAAAAGGUUUCAUCCGGUGUGGAUGCAGUCGCUGAUGGCGCUGCGGCAACAAAAGAUAAAGCAGCGAAAGAGGCGAAGAAAGCUAAAGACAAAGCUGGAGGCUUUCUUUCGGGACUAUUCAAGGGUGCAAAACACGCAGCCGAUGAUGUUACAGGAGACGUAAAAGACUUCCUGGAUGAAGCCAGAAAGGAUGCGGCUGAAGAACAAGCUAGACUGCGUGCAGCUGCUGCAGAGAAAGCGAAAGAUGUGGACACAGCUAAAGAAAAAGCAGUUUCCGGCUUGAAGGAUGUGAAAGACAAAACAACAUCUGCCGUAAAGGACGCCAAGGACACAGUCAGUGAAAAGAUUUCUACCGCUGCAGAGAAAGUAUCUGAUACUGGAAAAGCUGCGGCCGAAAAAGUAGUAGACGGUGUAAAACUAGUUGAAGGGAAAACAGAGAAAGCAGCUCACGAAGUGGCAGACGCUGCUAAGGCCGCUAAAGACAAGGCUGUUGAAGAUGCAAAGGAAGUCGGUGACAAAGUCGCAACAACUGCAAAGGACACUAAAGAUAAAGUUACCGAAAAGGUUGCAGAAGGUGCGCAAAUAGUAUCAGACACUGGUAAAACCAUUGGUGGAAAGAUAGUCGAUGGUGCAAAGAAGGUUGAGGAUAAAACUGUAACAACCGCUCAUGAAAUAGCAGAUGGCGCCAAAGCUGCAAAAGACAAAGUUGCAACAGAGAUUAAAGAAGACGCUCACGCCGUGAAACAAAAAGUUUCAUCCGGUGUGGAUGCAGUAGCCGAUGGAGCUGCGGCAGCGAAGGAUAAAGCAGCAAAAGAAGCUAAAAAGGCAAAGGACAAAGCUGGAGGUUUUCUGUCAGGAUUGUUCAAGGGCGCAAAACACGCAGCUGAUGACGCUUCUGAAGAAGUUAAGGAAUUUGUCGAUGAUACAAAGAAGGCUGCAGCCGAAGAGGAAGCUCGUGCUCGCGCUGCUGUUGCGGAGAAACUGAAAGAUGUCGAUGCCGCAAAAGACAAAGCGGUUGCCGACGUGAAGGAUGCAAAAGACAAGGUUGCAUCUACUGUCAAGGACACUAAAGACAAAGUCAGUGAGAAGGUUAGUGUCGUGACCCAAAAGGUGACGGAUACUGGAAAAGCUGCAGCCGUAAAGGUAGCAGAAGGAGCACACAAAGUAGGCGAGAAAGUAGACCACACAGUCACAGAAGUAGCCGAUGGCGCAAAGGUAGCGAAAGAUAAAGCUGCACAAGAUGUGCAAGAUGUUAAAGAUAAAGUCAGCGAAAAAGUGUCCGAAGGUGCACAGAAAGUAUCCGAUGCUGGGAAAACGGUUGGAGGCAAAGUUCUCGACGGAGUGAAGACAGCUGAAGAGAAGGUCGAAGCAACGGCCCAUGGAAUUGCUGAUGCUGCAAAGUCUGCUAAAGAUAAAGCGGCAGACGAAAUUAAGCAAGACACUGAUGCUUUCAAACAGAAAGUUUCAUCCGGUGUAGACGCGGUCGUGGAUGGAGCGGCGUCAGCGAAAGACAAAGCUGCGAAGGAAGCUAAGAAUGCCAAAGAGAAAACUGGCGGUUUUCUUUCUGGCUUAUUCAAGGGUGCAAAGCAUGCCGCAGAAGAUGUGACAGGUGAUGUCAAAGAUUUUCUCGAUGAGACGAGAAAGGAGGCGGCUGAAGAGCAAGCUAGACUGCGUGCGGCAGCUGCGGACAAAGCGAAAGAUGUGGAGUCCGCCAAGGACAAAGCAGUUGCAGACGUGAAGGAUGCGAAACAGAAGGUUGCCUCUACCGUAAAGGACGCCAAGGACAAAGUCAGCGAUAAAAUCUCUGACGGUGCUCAGAAAGUGUCCGAAGCCGGCAAAGGUCUGUCCGAGAAAGUUAAAGACGGAGUGAAACAAGUUGGUCAGAAAGUUGACGCCACUGCUCAACAGGUAUCUGACAGUGCAAGUGCCGCUAAAGGUAAAGUAGUCGAAGAUCUGAAAGACGUGAAAGACAAAGUAUCUGUUACUGCAAAAGACACGAAAGACAAGGUAGCCGAUAAAGUAGCUGAAGGCGCGGAAAAAGUAUCAGAUUCCGCAAAAGCAGUCGGUGGAGCGAUUCAAGAUGGCGUCAAAAAGGGUAAGGACAAAACUGAAACCGUGCUCCACGAUGUAGCGACCGGCAUCAAAACCACGCAAGAGAAAGCAUCGAAAGAGAUUAAGGAAGAUGUUGGGGCGGUCAAAGAAAAGGUCUCAUCCGGCGUAGAUUCGGUUGUGGAUGGAGCAGCCUCUGCCAAAGAUAAAGCAGCAGCGGAGGCUAAAAAGGCGAAGGAAAAAGGAGGUGGAUUCCUGUCGGGAUUAUUCAAAAGCGCAAAACAUGCGGCAGACGAGUUCUCUGAGGAUGUGAAAGAAUUCGUGGAUGAAACAAAGAAGGAAGCAACAGAAGAGGAAGCUCGCGCUCGAACUGCUGUGUCAGAGAAGAUGAAGGACCUCGACAAAGCGAAGGACAAAGCGGCAGCUGACGUUAAGGACGCGAAGGAUAAAGUUGUUUCCAGUGCUAAGGAUACCAAGGAUAAAAUAAGCGAGAAAGUAUCUGAAGGUGCACAUAAAGUAUCAGAUGCAGGCAAAGCUGUCGCUGGAAAAGUCAGUGAUGGAGUUAAACAAGUCGGACAAAAAGCUGACGACACGGCAAAAGAGAUAGCUGACGGUGCAAAACUCGUGAAAGACAAGACAGUUGAGGGCGCGAAGGAUGUGAAAGAUAAAGUCGUCACUGGAGUAAAGGACACCAAAGAGAAGGUCAGCGAGAAAGUGGCGGAAGGUGCACAAAAAGUAUCAGACACUGGUAAACUCGUUGCUGACAAAGCACUCGAUGGAGUGAAGAAAGUGGAAGACAAGGCAGAAGCAACCGCCAAAGAAAUGGCUGACGGUGCAAAAUCGACGAAAGACAAGGUGGUCAAAGAAAUUAAAGAGGAUACCGAUGCAGUAAAGCAGAAAGUCAUCUCUGGAGUUGACUCAACAGCGGAAGGUGCAUCUGCAGUGGCGGAUAAAGCAGCGAAAGAAGCUAAGAAGGCCAAGGAAAAGGGUGGUGGUUUUCUCUCUGGAUUAUUUAAGGGAGCAAAACACGCUGCAGAUGACGUCUCAGACGGAGUUAAAGAAUUUCUAGAUGAAACUAGAAAGGAAGCGGCUGAAGAGGAAGCCCGAGCUCGUGCUGCGGCUGCAGAAAAAAUGAAAGAUGUCGAGAAAGCUAAAGAGAAAGCAGUCGACGGUGCAAAGGACGCAAAGGACAAAGUUGCAACCACUGUCAAGGAUGCCAAGGACAAAGUCAGUGAUGUGUUCUCUGCCACUGCGCAGAAGGUGUCAGAUACCGGUAAAGGUGUAGCUGAGAAGGUCGCAGACGGUGUCAAACACGUGGAAGACAAAACGAGUAAGGCGGCUCAUGACGUAACAGAUACCGCCAAAGCUGCAAAAGAUAAGGCAGUAGAAGAUGUAAAGGGUGCGAAGGACAAAGUUGCAUCUACUGUGAAAGACGCUAAAGAUAAAGCUAGCGAUAUGGUUUCCUCUACUGCGCAGAAAGUAUCAGAUACCGGCAAGGAUGUGGCGGAAAAGGUAACAGAUGGUGUGAAACAAAUUGAAGAUAAAACGAGUAAAGCGGCGCAAAAGGUGGCAGAUACUGGAAAAGCUGCGAAAGACAAAGUAGUUGAGGAUGUACAGAUGGUCGGUGAUAAAAUUGCGACCACUACAAAGGACGCUAAGGAUACAGUCAGCGAAAAGGUGAGCGAAGGAGCACAGAAAGUGUCAGAUACUGGAAAGGCGGUUGGAGAAAAAAUAGUCGAUGGAGCAAAGAAGGUGGAUGAAAAAGCUUCGGCGACAGUUCACGGUGUGGUAGAUACCGCAAAAGCAACAAAAGACAAGGUUGCGAAGGAAGUUAAAGAAGACGCUGACAUUGUAAAGCAAAAAGUAUCGUCUGGUGUAGACACAGUAGUAGACGGAGCUGCGUCAGCCAAGGACAAAGCAGCGAAAGAAGCCAAGAAAGCUAAGGAGAAGGCCGGAGGUUUUCUCUCUGGCUUGUUCAAAGGCGCGAAGCACGCGGCAGAUGAUGUAUCAGACGAAGUUAAGGAAUUCCUCGAUGAAACAAAAAAAGAAGCUGCUGAAGAAGAAGCCAGAGCACGAGCUGCUGCAGCACAGAAGCUGAAGGAUGCUGAAACAGCCAAAGACAAAGCAGUUGCUGAUGUAAAAGACGCAAAGGACAAAGCAGCAUCCGCUGUGAAGGAUGCUAAGGAUAAAGCCAGCGAAAAAGUUUCUACCGCUGCCCAGAAGGUAUCAGAUACCGGAAAGGCUGCGGCUGAAAAAGUAGCGGAUGAAGUGAAACAUGUUGGUGAUGCUGCGGAUAAAAAAGCACACGAAAUAGCAGAUGCUGCUAAGGCUGCCAAAGACAAAACUGUCGAAGGUGCCAAAAAGACUGGCGAACAAGUUACGACUGCUGCUAAGGAUGCGAAGGAUAAAGUUAGCGAGAAAGUAGCAGAAGGAGCGCAGAAGGCAUCUGACGCUGGAAAGGCAGCCGCAGAAAAGAUACACGACGGAGUGAAGAAAGUAGAGGAUAAAGCAAAGACGACUGCACAUGAUGUAGCAGAGGGCGCAAAAAUGACCAAGGACAAAGUAGCAAAAGAGAUCAAGGAAGACGCUGAUGCCGUGAAGCAAAAGGUGUCAUCCGGUGUGGACGCAGUAGCUGAUAGCGCUGCGGCAGCAAAGGAUAAAGCAGCGAAAGAAGCGAAGAAAGCUAAAGACAAGGCUGGCGGCUUUCUUUCUGGAUUAUUCAAGGGUGCAAAGCACUCAGUGGAUGAUGCUUCUGAAGAUGUGAAAGAAUUUCUAGAUGAAGCCAGAAAGGAUGCGGCUGAGGAACAAGCUAGACUGCGUGCAGCUGCUGCAGAGAAAGCGAAAGAUGCGGACUCAGCUAAAGACAAAGCAGUUUCCGGUUUAAAAGAUGUGAAAGACAAAACAGUAUCUGCUGUAAAGGACGCCAAGGACACAGUCAGUGAAAAGGUUUCUACCGCUGCAGAGAAAGUAUCUGAUACUGGGAAAGCCGCCGCCGAAAAAGUAGUAGACGGUGUAAAACUAGUUGAAGGGAAGACCGAGAAAGCUGCUCGCGACAUGGCAGAUGCUGCUAAGGCCGCUAAAGACAAGGCUGUUGAAGAUGCAAAGGAAGUCGGUGACAAAGUCGCAACAACUGCAAAGGACACUAAAGACAAAGUUACCGAAAAGGUUGCAGAAGGUGCGCAAAAAGUAUCAGACACUGGUAAAGCCGUUGGAGAUAAAAUAGUUGAUGGUGCAAAGAAAAUUGAGGAUAAAACCGUAACGACCGUCCAUGAAGUAACUGAUGGCGCCAAAGCUGCGAAGGAUAAGGUUGCAAAAGAAAUCAAAGAAGAUGCGGACGCUGUAAAGCAAAAGGUUUCAUCUGGCGUGGAUACAGUUGUGGACACUGCAGCAGCUGCAAAGGACAAAGCUGCAAAAGAAGCUAAAAAAGCCAAGGACAAGACCGGAGGCUUCUUAUCAGGGUUAUUCAAAGGUGCAAAACACGCAGCCGACGAAGUUUCCGGCGAGUUCAGUGAAUUUCUGGACGAGACGAAGAAGGAAGCAGCCGAAGAAGAAGCUCGCGCCCGUGAAGCGGCGGCAGAAAAGAUAAAGGACCUUGAAACAGCGAAAAGUAAAGUAGCAGCUGAUGUGAAGGACGCAAAAGACAAAGUCGCAACCACAGCUAAAGACGCCAAGGAGAAGGUCGGCGAAAAAUUAUCCGACACCACCCAGAAAAUCUCUGACGCUAGCAAAAGUGCAGCUGAGACCGUUGCGACUGGAAUGAAGCAAGUUGCCGAAAAAGCGGACGAUAAAGCUCGUGAAAUAGCAGACGCUGCAAAGUCCACGAAGGACAAGGUAGUCGAAGACACGAAGGAAGCCAAGGACAAAGUCACAACCGCCGUAAAGGACGCGAAGGACAAGGUCAGCGACAAGGUGGUCGAAGGAGUACAAAAGGUGUCAGACGCAGGCAAAUCAGUCGGUGACAAAGUACUCGAAGGAGCUGAAAAGGCAGAACUCAAGGUCGAAACAACUGCUCACAAGAUCGCCGGCGAUACUAAAGCAGCGAAGGAUAAAGUGGUCACAGAAAUUAAGGGAGACGCCGAAGCUGUAAAACAGAAAGUCUCUUCGGGAGUAGACACCGUGGUGGACGGUGCAGCGGCGGCGAAAGACAAAGCUGCGAAGGAAGCUAAAAAAGCGAAAGAGAAAGGUAGUGGCUUUCUUUCUGGGUUGUUCAAAGGUGCAAAGCAUGCAGCAGACGAAGUUUCUGAAGACAUGAAGGAAUUCGUCGACGAAGCGAAGAAGGACGCCGCUGAAGAAGAAGCAAGGUUGCGUGCAGCAGCUGCCGAUAAGGUGAAAGAUGUCGAAACAGCUAAAGACAAAGCUGUUGCAGACAUUAAAACCUCUAAGGACAAACUUGCGGCUGGUGUGAAAGACACCAGCGAUAAGGUCACUGGAAAGGUUGCUGACACCGUACAGAAAACAUCUGAUGCUGGUAAAGCUUUUGGAGACAAAGUCGUGGAUGGACUAACGGAAAUUGAGUUGAAAACAGAAACAACUGUUCAAGAUGUAAAGAGCGGUAUGAAGGACGCAAAAGACAAGGCAGUGGCUGACACAAAAGCUGCUGCAAAGGAUACCAAAGACAAGCUCACCGAUAAGGUAGCCAAAGGUGCCCAAAAGGUUUCGGACGCUGGUAAAACCAUAGGCGGCAAAGUUGUCGAUGGCGCGAAAAGUGUAGAGGAAAAAGCAGAAGCAGCUGCGAAGGAGAUCAAGAAGGACAUUUCAUCCGGAGUAGAUACCGUCGCGGAUACCGCUAAAACAACUAAGGACAAGGCUGCGAAGGAAGCAAAGAAAGCCAAGGAGAAGGGCGGUGGUUUCCUCUCUGGUUUAAUCAAAAGCGUGAAACAUGCAGCUGAGGAUGUCUCAGACGACGUCAACGAGUUUCUUGAUGAAACGAAGAAGGAAGCCGCCGAAGAGGAGGCCCGAGCUCGCGAGAAGGCGGCAGAAAAGUUAAAAGACGUUGAGAAGCUCUCGGAAAAAGCCUCUGCAGAUGCGAAGGCGGCUAAAGACAAAGCGGUAGCUGGUGUAAAGGAUGCAAAAGAAGCAGUUAGCAAAAAGGUGUCGGGUGCUAGCCAAGCUGUUGGCGCUACUGUUCAAGAAAUAAGCGACACUGCAAGAACGACGAAACACAAGGUGGUUUCGUCCGCGAAAGACAGUAGCGACCGAAUCAGCGAGAAGGUAGCUGCCGGAGGUCAAAAAGUGUCUGACGCCGGAAAGUCUAUUGUCGUAGAGGGUAGCAAUAUCAAAAGUGGCGUAAUGGACUUUCUGGAAGAACUGAAACGAGACGCUGCGUUGGACAAAUCAGGUUUCCAAGAGAAACCUGACGACGUUCACAGUUUGUACGAGAACGUGGACAGAUUCGGCAGAGUCAGAGAAUUAACGCCUGACCCGAAGGGAGAAGGUUCAAAAAGCGAAAGAUCUGACUUUGACACGGUGUUCGAUCCACUUGCUGGUGUUAGCUUCGAAGCACAGAGUAGAUUAACCGACACGAGCAGAAAGGACGGUGUCGAAAUAAAAUCGAAGAAGAUAUCUCGCAUUCCACAGAAAGUUAGUUCCUCUAAAGACGCAGGAAUUAGCCCUAGUAGCUCAUUGGAUAGUACAGUUAGGGUAGUUAAUGUAUUUAGCGAAGUAGAGCACCUCGAGCCUCACACACGACAGACCGUCACCACAGUCGUAACAAAGUCUGUGCGGACGGCAGCGACCCCACCACCCAGUCCCGCCGAGUUCAUUGACAGUAGAAUCGAAGAUGUCACUGAAGAGGCAGCAAGACGAGCGCAGGCAUUAGCCGAUCAAGCGUAUUCGAUGUCGAAAACAGGGCAUGAUUCGGCUGAGAUUGAUGGGACUGUAGAGAGGCAUGCUACUUCUGCUCCAACAAAGCAACCUGUUCCCGCCCCGCGACACUCCACCAGGUCGUCCAUCAAAACAGACUUUCAUCUAGACUUGGGUGACACCUCGUGCGCGCCGUACAGUCCCAAGCAUAAGACGAAAGAAUCAAAGCUGCAGGAAGAACACUCGCCCGAAAAGAGCAGUCCUAAAAGUAAGAUACCGAUCAAGGUAAAAAAAUCCAUGGAUAACGAAAAGAUGGCUUGCAAAACCGGAACCGAUAAGGUAAAGUCAGACGUCGAAGAUACGAAGCAGCUCGAGAAAUCGGAGCCAAAGGGUGACUCCGUAAAGACCGAGCUGUCGAGCGAAACGUGCACCACGAUGACGACCAAAACGACCGCGUCCGCGCUCGAUUCCGAAACGCUCGAGAAAUUAGCUGGAACCGUAGAAAAGAUAGAGUCCGUGACGAUCGCGAAAGGAGACGCUAGACCGGGGGAACUUGUGAGGGAAACUAAGAUUGUAGAGAGUUGGAUGGGUCCCGAGGAAGCGGGGACGAUAACAAAGACCGUGAGAAACGUUACGGAUCAGGUGGUGAAAGAGACCGUGGUGAAAACGAUCACGACCACGAUGUGCACCACCAUGGAGUCCGUUGGCACUGACCAGACGGAACGGAUCGUACGGACGGUGACCACCAGCGGGGACUACGGCGACAUACCCGGUCUGAAACGAUUGCAGGGCGAUAUCCUGCCACUAAGUAUCGAACAGGGUUCGACAAAGAUGAUGAAAAGCAUUAGCGAGAUGUCGGAGCCGUGGGCGCACGGCAGCUUGAUAGAGCACUCGUACCUGAACGAUGAGAAGGUAGAGCAAUGGGAGAGCCAGCUCUCCCAAGACACGUCGCCCGGUUCCGGUAACGGUGACAUUUACGCAAAGAACGGUAGCUCACGCCACGAUUUAAACAGCGACACUGACAGUGACGGUUCGCCACGACCGAGAAGAAGAUCUCCGAGCAAGAGGCGUACAUUGGGCAGUUCCAGCGGGUCUGAUGUAGCACUGCACGAAGGUGCGGAGCUGUCCCCGUUGGAGGACGACCAAGUGACAGAAACAGACAGUUCGGUACAGUCAGUUUGUUCGAGCAUGCGACCAAGUACAGUAGAGGGAACAUCUAGGAGGAAGACUUCCGGUAGAACAAGCUGCGCGUGUUGGAUGAGCGUAGCUGCCGCUACGUUGGUGGUCCUACUAGCAAUAUUUCUUGCCUUGGAGCCACGAACGUUCCAACGUGACAUCUACACCCUCUCUAACAAUGUCCCGAGGCAAACUGGAAUCUGACUUUUUGCAACAUAGCGAGCCAUCCUACAUGGAAACGACAACGACGGAAGUGGACCCUGAAACUCAGGAAAGAAUAACCAGAACUGUACAAGUAGUUACAACGACCAGUGGUACAGACGAAUUGCGAGAAUCCAUGCAGAAGAUCGUCGAUCAAUUCAUGAUGGAGGAAAGGCGAGAUCAGUGAAGCAUCAUAGGUCUUAUGGGGCGAUAACAUCAAGAAAAGGAUCCUUUUGUCGGCCGAUGAUCGUGCAUCGAUAUUAAAAUAGCGUUGAAAGAAAUUCUCUGUUACGCUAAUCGAAACGUAUGUCUAAUCUGACGCAUCCUCGAGCGUCAGAGGAGACAUUUGAAAAAAAAAUGAAGCUCGAAGAAAAGAUAUCUCGAUAUAGAUCUAUGUCUUUAAUCUAAGAGUAAACGCAAGGUAAUCUUUUUUUCUUCGACGCUUUCGAGAUCAUAGGAAAAAAAAAGUAUGCACGACGAUUAACUUGUCACACUCAUGGCCUACGCUUCGAAUUUGCUUGCCUUUCGGUUGCAUUAAGUUGCCUUACAAAUAUUUACGUUUAAUCUUGCGAUUAAAUGAACAUAUGUCGUCGCUAGUCCGACUAGCCGAUCCGCUAGUCUUCACUACGCCAACCCGUCCAUGUACAACGCCUUUCUCGUGUUGUUCAAAGCGAAAAUGAAAAGGGAGAAGGAGAGAAGAAAGUUAACGAAGCAACAAGCGCUUACAUGAACAAUGGUGGACGAAAAAGAGAAAAGAAAUAGAUGAUGCAGUUUCGACCAACAUUACGGCGAUAUAUACAUAUAAUAUAUAUUUGUAAAACAAUAAACGCGAGACAAAAUCGAAAUGAAAACAGAUUUUAUGGUGACUUCGCGAGACUCGCCACUCGUCAGUUCGUUUUUUAGCUUUAGAGGAUGAUUGUAAUAUCUAUCCGCGUAAUGCAUCGCUUGAUAUGGGUCAGCUACACUUCAACCACCUUUUCGACGAUGAACUGCACACGUACACAUACAUGCAUAUAUACACAGAUUCUAAAAAGAAAGAAAGAACAAAAAAAAGAUAGAGUUCUCGUUGCUGUUCGAGCGUAACGAUGAAACGAAGAAGAAACGAGAGAUAAAUGUUUACUCCGAUUCGGAUAGCAACGAGAAAUCGAUGUUUUUAUGGAUCGCAAUACAAUGUAAAUUUAACUUAUUUAAAAAGAAUAUUUCCUAACAAUUUUUAAUUGUAUAUAUGAUAAUUUCUUAGCGUAACUUAUAUAAAUGUACUAUUAUACGAUUGUAAUAAUUGCAAGAUUAUAACCGUGAAUAUUUUAUUUAUAUAGCGAAAUAAUUGGACAAAUGUUACACGCAUAAAUCUUAUGAUCGAAGAGAGAGAAAAUGUUGAACAAAAUUAUUAUAGUUAUUCUAAAAUAAAAACGAAAAAAAGAAAAGGCAUGACCGCUAUAGAAAAAAUGUGUUGUUUAAACUUCUACGAAUCGAAACACGUCUUGAUAAUUAUUUUAAACAGCGUUAGCUUUCAAUGUAUAACACAGUUUUCAAAGGCACAGAAAGGAAUCGUAUAGUAUGUAUUUAAAAAGAACAAAAAUAUAUAUAUACAUAUACAUAUAUAAAUAUACAUACUUUUAAAUAAGGUACUCUAUUAAUGUAUAAUAUAUUGAAAAAGAUAUAAUUAUGCAUCUGAAGUUUAUAAAUUAUUAUCUAUAAUGACUGUUAUUCUAUGUUUAAUAGACUUGCCUAGAGCCUAUCUGACCUAAGGACCAAAGGCACAAUCACACACGCAUCAAAAUAAACUAUUAUGCUCCCAUG
rnacentral:misc_RNA from 1 species